AGUGGAGGCACGUCUUCUUUUGGUGGAUUAGUGACCCGACUCCGUGGAAGAAGAAAUGUUUACCAGGUUUCCCAGCCCAGGAGCAACGGCAACAACAGCGGUUCCUCAGAGUCAUACAGCAUGAUAUAAAUCCUGACAGUAAUGCA